rnacentral:rRNA from 1 species
UACGUAGGGUGCAAGCGUUAAUCGGAAUACUGGGCGUAAAGCGUGCGCAGGCGGUUUUGUAAGUUUUGUCGUGAAAUCCCCGGGCUCAACCUGGGAAUGGCGAUGAAGACUGCAAGGCUAGAAUCUGGCAGAGGGGGGGUAGAAUUCCACGUGUAGCAGUGAAAUGCGUAGAGAUGUGGAGGAACACCGAUGGCGAAGGCAGCCCCCCUGGGUCAAGAUUGACGCUCAUGCACGAAAGCGUGGGG